rnacentral:rRNA from 1 species
UACAGAGGGUGCAAGCGUUACUCGGAAUUACUGGGCGUAAAGCGUGCGUAGACGGUCAUGUAAGUCGGGUGUGAAAGCCCCGGGCUCAACCUGGGAAUUGCAUUCGAGACUGCAUGGCUAGGGUGCGGAAGAGGGAAGCGGAAUUUCCGGUGUAGCGGUGAAAUGCGUAGAUAUCGGGAGGAACACCUGUGGCGAAAGCGGCUCACUGGACCACAACUGACGCUGAGGCGCGAAAGCUAGGGGAGCAAACAGG